rnacentral:rRNA from 1 species
AGACUUCCAAGAAAAGCUCGCAAUGUCGUAGAUAAAUAAUGCCUGUACCAUAACCGACACAGGUGGGUAGGUAGAGUAUACUAAGGGGCGCGAGAUAACUCUCUCUAAGGAACUCGGCAAAAUGACUCCGUAACUUCGGGAGAAGGAGUGCCUUAUUUAUAAGGUUGCAACAACAAGAUCCAAGCAACUGUUUACCAAAAACACAGGUCUCCGCUAAGUCGUAAGACGAUGUAUGGGGGCUGACGCCUGCCCAGUGCCAGAAGGUUAAAGAAGUUGGUUAGCAUUAGCGAAGCUGAUGACUGAAGCCCUGGUGAACGGCGGCCGUAACAAUAACGGU